rnacentral:rRNA from 1 species
CCUACGGGAGGCUGCAGUCGAGAAUCAUUCACAAUGGGGGAAACCCUGAUGGUGCGACGCCGCGUGGGGGAAUGAAGGUCUUCGGAUUGUAAACCCCUGUCAUGUGGGAGCAAAUUAAAAAGAUAGUACCACAAGAGGAAGAGACGGCUAACUCUGUGCCAGCAGCCGCGGUAAUACAGAGGUCUCAAGCGUUGUUCGGAAUCACUGGGCGUAAGGCGUGCGUAGGCUGUUUCGUAAGUCGUGUGUGAAAGGCGCGGGCUCAACCCGCGGACGGCACAUGAUACUGCGAGACUAGAGUAAUGGAGGGGGAACCGGAAUUCUCGGUGGAGCAGUGAAAUGCGUAGAUAUCGAGAGGAACACUCGUGGCGAAGGCGGGUUCCUGGACAUUAACUGACGCUGAGGCACGAAGGCCAGGGGAGCGAAAGGGAUUAGAUACCCUGGUAGUC